UGGAACUAUGGGUGGUGCUUGUGGUUACGGAAAUUUAUACAGCACGGGAUACGGAACGAACACUGCUGCGUUGAGUACUGCUCUUUUCAACAACGGGUUGAGCUGUGGAGCGUGUUUUCAGCUAAUGUGUGUGAAUGCGGGGCAGUACUGCCUGCCAGGCAUAAUUACGGUAACAGCCACAAAUUUCUGUCCACCAGGAGGGUGGUGUGAUCCUCCACGCCCUCAUUUUGAUCUCUCUCAACCUAUCUUCUUGCGCAUUGCUCAAUAUAGAGCUGGCAUAGUUCCUGUUGCCUAUAGAAGGGUACCCUGCAGAAGAAGUGGAGGAAUUAGAUUUACAAUCAAUGGCCACUCUUACUUCAACUUGGUUCUUGUAACAAAUGUUGGAGGUUCAGGGGAUGUACAUUCAGUAUACAUAAAGGGUUCAAGAACUCAAUGGCAACCAAUGUCAAGAAAUUGGGGCCAAAAUUGGCAGAAUAACGCUUACCUUAACGGCCAAAGCUUGUCCUUUAAGGUCACUACAGGCGAUGGUCGCACUGUUGUUUCAUACAAUGCAGCUCCUAGUUCUUGGUCAUUUGGUCAGACAUUUUCUGGAGGACAAUUCCGUUAAAACGCAACAUAUUCUUUAAGAAAAAAAAAAUCAGAAUUUUCAAAGUAUACUACUUGCUAAUAUAUUAUUCUAAGAGUUUUGCCUUAAAUUUGAGGGUUUUACUCACCAAAAUAUUUGGGGAAAAGCGCAGUUUGGCACUUUUUGUCCAUUGUAAAAUUGGUCAUUCAAUUGUGGAAGUAAAAAGAAUUGAUUUGGCCUACUCUUUUUUGGGUGGUUAUUAACGUUUAGGGGGCGGCAGUUGUGAGCUUUUACUGCUCAAUUUAAUAGUAUAAAUAGCAUUUACAGUAUUGUGUGCAUAGAAGAAAAAUAUCUAUUUUUUUUUUACUGCAAAAGAGCUAAGCACUAGUUAUGGUGAGUAUGUAUGUACCAAUUGUCUCUAGCUAUUUGUUUGUAAGAAAAUGUUACUAUAAUAAUAAAAGGAAACUCCAAG
rnacentral:misc_RNA from 1 species